GGGGAUGCCAGGCCUAGACAAUAGAGAUACUCGUUUGUUGUGCGAGGCUGCAGUGGAGACCUGCAUAAAAAGCUCCAAAACAAUAACUGCCAAGUCAGUUGCAUCACCGUAUUUCUCGGUGAAUGAUCUCUCGUUCGCCACUGCGCGAGCCUAAGGUCACAUUCGCUCUCCCUUUCCUGAUGGAAGAGGCCGAGUGUUAUAAAACAGGAUAUAACUGGUGGACCUGAUUUCGCCACUAGCCGAAACUUGGAAUCUGCAUCCGCGUGUGGUUUUGGCCACUGCACACACACGCAGGUAAAGACCCGCCGUAAGGCGGAUAAAUGGCCUACGCCUUGUAGAAGCACUCACGAACCUUUGUUGCACGGCGGUUCAACUCCGCCCAUCUCCACUA
rnacentral:tmRNA from 1 species